UGCACCGAGGGAUAGAAUAGCGG
rnacentral:miRNA from 1 species